rnacentral:rRNA from 1 species
AGUAAUGUAUGGGGAUCUGCCCGAUAGAGGGGGGUAACUACUGGAAACGGUGGCUAAUACCGCAUAAUGUCUACGGACCAAAGCAGGGGCUCUUCGGACCUUGCACUACCGGAUGAACCCAUAUGGGAUUAGCUAGUAGGUGGGGUAAAGGCUCACCUAGGCGACGAUCUCUAGCUGGUCUGAGAGGAUGAUCAGCCACACUGGGACUGAGACACGGCCCAG